CCGGUAAACGGCGGCCGUAACUAUAACGGUCCUAAGGUAGCGAAAUUCCUUGUCGGGUAAGUUCCGACCUGCACGAAUGGCGUAAUGAUGGCCAGGCUGUCUCCACCCGAGACUCAGUGAAAUUGAACUCGCUGUGAAGAUGCAGUGUACCCGCGGCAAGACGGAAAGACCCCGUGAACCUUUACUAUAGCUUGACACUGAACAUUGAGCCUUGAUGUGUAGGAUAGGUGGGAGGCUUUGAAGUGUGGACGCCAGUCUGCAUGGAGCCGACCUUGAAAUACCACCCUUUAAUGUUUGAUGUUCUAACGUUGACCCGUAAUCCGGGUUGCGGACAGUGUCUGGUGGGUAGUUUGACUGGGGCGGUCUCCUCCUAAAGAGUAACGGAGGAGCACGAAGGUUGGCUAAUCCUGGUCGGACAUCAGGAGGUUAGUGCAAUGGCAUAAGCCAGCUUGACUGCGAGCGUGACGGCGCGAGCAGGUGCGAAAGCAGGUCAUAGUGAUCCGGUGGUUCUGAAUGGAAGGGCCAUCGCUCAACGGAUAAAAGGUACUCCGGGGAUAACAGGCUGAUACCGCCCAAGAGUUCAUAUCGACGGCGGUGUUUGGCACCUCGAUGUCGGCUCAUCACAUCCUGGGGCUGAAGUAGGUCCCAAGGGUAUGGCUGUUCGCCAUUUAAAGUGGUACGCGAGCUGGGUUUAGAACGUCGUGAGACAGUUCGGUCCCUAUCUGCCGUGGGCGCUGGAGAACUGAGGGGGGCUGCUCCUAGUACGAGAGGACCGGAGUGGACGCAUCACUGGUGUUCGGGUUGUCAUGCCAAUGGCACUGCCCGGUAGCUAAAUGCGGAAGAGAUAAGUGCUGAAAGCAUCUAAGCACGAAACUUGCCCCGAGAUGAGUUCUCCCUGACUCCUUGAGAGUCCUGAAGGAACGU
rnacentral:rRNA from 1 species